rnacentral:rRNA from 1 species
UACGUAGGGUGCAAGCGUUAAUCGGAAUUACUGGGCGUAAAGCGUGCGCAGGCGGUUUUGUAAGUCUGUCGUGAAAGCCCCGGGCUCAACCUGGGAAUUGCGAUGGAGACUGCAAGGCUUGAAUCUGGCAGAGGGGGGUAGAAUUCCACGUGUAGCAGUGAAAUGCGUAGAGAUGUGGAGGAACACCGAUGGCGAAGGCAGCCCCCUGGGUCAAGAUUGACGCUCAUGCACGAAAGCCAGGGGAGCGAACGGG